rnacentral:rRNA from 1 species
CCUACGGGUGGCAGCAGUGAGGAAUAUUGGUCAAUGGACGCAAGUCUGAACCAGCCAUGCCGCGUGCAGGAAGAAGGCUCUAUGAGUUGUAAACUGCUUUUGUACGAGGGUAAACGCAGAUACGCGUAUCUGUCGGAAAGUAUCGUACGAAUAAGGAUCGGCCAACUCCGUGCCAGCAGCCGCGGUAAUACGGAGGAUUCAAGCGUUAUCCGGAUUUAUUGGGUUUAAAGGGUGCGUAGGCGGUCGGAUAAGUUAGAGGUGAAAUCCCGGGGCUCAACUUCGGAAUUGCCUCUGAUACUGUACGGCUAGAGUGUAGUAGAGGUAGGCGGAAUGUAUGGUGUAGCGGUGAAAUGCUUAGAGAUCAUACAGAACACCGAUUGCGAAGGCAGCUUACCAAGCUACUUCUGACGUUGAGGCACGAAAGCGUGGGGAGCAAACAGGAUUAGAUACCCGGGUAGUC